rnacentral:tRNA from 1 species
AGGGGUAAAAGUGGGGUUGAGCGGACUUUUAAUCCGUUGGUCACAAGUUCGAAUCUUGUACGUCCUA